GCCUGUUUGGCUCAGUUGGUAGAGCAUGCAACUCUUGGUCUCAGGGUUGUGAGUUCGAAUCUCACAUUGGGCA
rnacentral:tRNA from 1 species